rnacentral:lncRNA from 1 species
GAGCAUGCUAUAUCUUAAAAUAAUACUAAUGAUGAAAUUUAAAAUGAUGUUAAAUUUAAAUAUUAAGUAAGGCUAGAUUUAAAAAAAACAAAUAUAUACAAAAAAUAAGAACCAAUUAAAUUUUAAAAAAAAUACACUGAUAAGGACUAAAUUUGAAUUAAAAUAGAAGUAAAAAGAAAAAAAAAUAAAACAUAAUAAUGGGUCAAAAAUAGAAUUAAAAUAAAAUUAAAGAGCAACAAACAUAAUUAAAACCAAAAAGGACCAAAAUGCUGCGCGCGAAUAACAUGAGGGACUAAAAGGGGAAUAUUCCCAAUCCUCUAAAACGCUGCGUUGCGGCAUGGACUAAAAUAAAAAGAAAAUCAGAUUAAAGGGAAAAAUUUUAAAAAACUAAAAGAACCGAUUUGAACACGCUACAAUAUAGAGAGGACCAUUUGCACAAAUCGCCCAAUGGUUGUGAAAAGCGC